rnacentral:rRNA from 1 species
UACGAAGGGGGCUAGCGUUGUUCGGAUUUACUGGGCGCAAAGGGCGCGCAGGCGGCUCAUUUUGUCAGGCGUGAAAGCCCCGGGCUUAACCUGGGAACUGCGUUUGAUACGGAUGGGCUAGAGUUCGGGAGAGGAGAGUGGAAUUCCCAGUGUAGAGGUGAAAUUCGUAGAUAUUGGGAAGAACACCGGUGGCGAAGGCGGCUCUCUGGACCGAGACUGACGCUGAGGCGCGAAAGCGUGGGGAGCAAACAGG